rnacentral:lncRNA from 1 species
GUAGUACUACUACUAGUUACUAUUAUAACAAUAAUUUUCUUACGAUUCUAAAAAGUAAUGAAAAAUUGGGAAAAUGAGAGUUUGCAAAAAAAAGAAUCCUCGUGGGUUGACUCCAUAUUAUUACUAUUUAGAAUGUGUCUGAUAGCGAUAGGAACUCCUUUGCAUUGAUUUCGAGAAGGCAAAUAUAGUAUUUUGAUAAGGAUCAUUAUAAUACAUAAUUUUGAAUCAUUGAAGCGGGAGGGCUCAUGGUUUUAUUUUGUAUUGUGUUCAGUGGGGCGCUGUGAAAAGAGAGAGGUUUACUACUAUUAUGAUACAUUCAUAGAGCCUUUGUAUGUAUAUAAAUUUUAUAUGAGACUCUGAGACGAUGGCAUACUUCGAAGAACAAAUGAUUAUUUCUGUUUCCCCCUUCACUCAGCACUCUCUUUGCUCUCGUGUUGUUGUUCAGGAAGAAGGAGUCUUUUAGUCCUACUAAAUGUAAGUGAGGAAAGCCACGGCAUGAUAUUCAUUCUUGAUGGAUUUUAUAGAAGUGGUUGAAGAGGUGGUCGUAACUAUUUUUAUUAUAACAAACUGCAUCACUAAGCCCAAUCUCUAGAGUCUUUCAUUACAUAUUAUGUCCAUUCCUGGGCAUGCACCUAUUAUUAUGCUCGAUUUUAUUUAGAAAAUUGAACGUAUGCUUAUUAUAGAUUAUACCUUUUACUUAAUGUAACAUUUAUAUAUUUAACAAUAAACCCUCAUAUCAGUU